AAUGCUGUAAAUAGUUCGCCUGACCAAUCACAGAUGGCGCUGUCUUGAUUGUUUUGUGAAGGAGUUUAUGUGCAAAAAUUCAAUUAAAAACGUGUUUAAAUAAAUAAUUUAGCAAAUUAAAUCUAUAAACCUUUGGAUAUAUUGCUUAUUUUAAAAAUAAUUCUUUGCAAAUUGAUACACCUCUGUGCAAUCCGACAUCCUCGCAAGACGCAAGUUGGCAGCACUGGCUAGAAUCUCCCGUGGAGAACAUCGCGUUUUUGUUGUUCACUCAAAAGUUUUAAUAAACAUUUUAUAACUUUUAACGCUCAAUCCAUCGGUUUAGUUCCGGUCUUAAAUGUUGUACCAGUGCCACCCGCUGUCAAUCCCAUGCCACGUGCCGCGUAAUUUCCUCAAACUUCACCAGCUGCAGCAACAAUAACACGACAACAACGCUGGCGACCAAUAAAAAAUUAUACCAGCAACAAAAACAACAACAACAUUAAUCAGGCGCUGAGAAUUCUCUCAAAAAGAAUAAGUGAUUCUUGACACCACUAUAAUUUAAUGAUCUUUCUUUAAUUGAAACUGUUUUCCGUAAAUCUGGGCAAUCUUGUUUCUUUAGAUCUAAAAUAUGACUCGAGCAAAUUUUAGAAAAACUGCCAUGGAUCUUUGAUCAAAACUAAACCGAUUUAAAUUUAAUUCUGCAAUUCAAUUUAUUAAAAUUGACCCUAUUUUAAUGAUAGCUGUAAAAAUGUAAAAAUAAAAAUCACUUCAGUGAAAGUCAAUUGUG